CAGGCAGCUCCCCACAAGCUGCCUGGUCAGCGGGGAGAUGCAGCCGGUGCUUGAGAAAUGUUUCCCUGCCUAAAAGUAGGGCUGUAAGGGCAGGCUUUUGAGGAACCCGCCGGUGCUCCAGUUCUUUUCUUCCAUCUUCCCCUCAUCUCUGGAAGCUCCAUCCGUAUUGGAAUAGGCAGCAAUUAUUCCAAUCUCUAUGAACAGAGCAUUCUGCCUUGUAAAAAAGAGGAGCUCCAGUGUGGUAACGGACUCUGCCUCCUGAACUGGCUGCGCUGUCACUACAAGAAAGAUUGUGGAAGAGACUACAUGUCCAUCAAACUAACAUGCUCAAGAGAACUUCAUUUUAUAACAGUGCUACUCACACCACCGACUACUUUUGUCCCCAGGAGUAACGGUCCCCAACCUUAAUGGUUUAGUUGAUUGCUCCAGAUAACAUUCCAGUGCUACACGGAUGUAGGAAAGCACCUCCCAUCAAUCACCCCUAACACCACUCACUGCCCUAACAAGACCUUUUCUUCAAUAUUACCCCAACCAGUCAAUGAGAAUUGUUACCACCCCCUGCAAUCUUUGUUCAAGGGUUCCAAAUCCCGUUGGCCUCCCAUUCUCACUGCCUUAUACAUGUUGUCAGCACAACCAUUUUAUAAUCUUAUGUGAUCAAGCUCAUUCAUGAGACAGACUUGUAGCAGGCAGUACAGGUCCCUUCCAGCCCUACUCUAUGAUUUUAUGAUCCAAGCAAAAAACAACACAGCCAUAACACACACACUGGCCACUAAUUUCAGAAAGACAAAAAAUAAAGAUCUCAAUAAAAAUGAAAGAUUCUCUCUGCUUUAUGAAUAUGAAGGUCAUGGCAGCCCUUUUAUAUCAGACCACUGACAGGCAGAGCUGCUUGGACAUUUUCAGACAGAAUCAGAAAAUGCAGAUUCAAAAAGUUUUGCAGAAACACUGAUUUCAACCAAUUUUCCAAGAGAACAUGGUUGAAGACAAAGCUCUUACAGGCUCUCUUAUAGGAACAAUCCCAUCCUACUCCCAAGUUUUAAAAUGCUUUCCUUCAAUUUGGAAUCUGAAAGUUUAAAAAAAAACA